rnacentral:rRNA from 1 species
GAUGAACGCUGGCGGCGUGCCUAACACAUGCAAGUCGAGCGAUUCUCUUCGGAGAAGAGCGGCGGACGGGUGAGUAACGCGUGGGUAACCUGCCCUGUACACACGGAUAACAUACCGAAAGGUAUGCUAAUACGAGAUAAUAUGCUUUUAUCGCAUGGUAGAAGUAUCAAAGUUUUUGCGGUACAGGAUGGACCCGCGUCUGAUUAGCUAGUUGGUAAGGUAACGGCUUACCAAGGCGACGAUCAGUAGCCGACCUGAGAGGGUGAUCGGCCACAUUGGAACUGAGACACGGUCCAAACUCCUACGGGAGGCAGCAGUGGGGAAUAUUGCACAAUGGGCGAAAGCCUGAUGCAGCAACGCCGCGUGAGCGAUGAAGGCCUAUGGGUUGUAAACCUCUUUUUUCAGGGAGGAAUCUAUGACGUGUACCUGAAGAAUAAGCAUCGGCUAACUCCGUGCCAGCCGCCGCGGUAA